GCGGUCCAUGCUGCGCGGCGGCCGGGGCGUCAACAUCACGCCCGAGGUGGACCCCCUGCUGCGGGAGUCGAUCAAACUCAACCGGGCCGUAC
rnacentral:tRNA from 1 species